GAUCAUGGCUCAGGAUGAACGCUAGCUACAGGCUUAACACAUGCAAGUCGAGGGGCAGCGGGAAGUCAGCUUGCUGACUUUGCCGGCGACCGGCGCACGGGUGAGUAACACGUAUCCAACCUUCCCGUUACUCUGGAAUAGCCUUUCGAAAGAAAGAUUAAUACCGGAUAGUAUCGAGAGAUUGCAUGAUUACCCGAUUAAAGAUUCAUCGGACGAAGAGGUGGAUGUCU
rnacentral:rRNA from 1 species